UACGUAGGGGGCAAGCGUUGUCCGGAAUCAUUGGGCGUAAAGAGCGUGUAGGCGGUUCGGUAAGUCGGCUGUGAAAGUCCAGGGCUCAACCCUGGGAUGCCGGUCGAUACUGCCGGACUAGAGUUCGGAAGAGGCGAGUGGAAUUCCCGGUGUAGCGGUGAAAUGCGCAGAUAUCGGGAGGAACACCUAUGGCGAAGGCAGCUCGCUGGGACGUUACUGACGCUGGAGACGCGAAAGCGUGGGAGCAACAGAUGAUGAU
rnacentral:rRNA from 1 species